GAUGGGGGUUUUUUUGGUUUUUUGUUUUUUUGGGGUUUUUUUUUUGAAAAGCCAAGACAUUCCAGAUUACUACUAAGUUUUAGAACAAUUUCAGGGAAUUCUAGCAUAGACAAUGUUUUCCUUACAAAUAGUUUAUAAGUUUAUGAUGUGUUUUCAGCAAGCAUGAAUGGAUUCACUCUUGUGGUUUAACACUGCAUCUUCCAUGCAAACUAAAUGGAGGAAUGAACCAAGGCAACAAUGAUCUCCAAAUGCAUACAUCUGCACUUUGUUACUAGAAAACACCAGCAAGACACUUCCAUGUAGAGAGUUUAUCUGAAGAAUGGCUGUGCAGCAAGGGACACAACAGUGUUAAGUUGAUAAGACUGUGAGAGUACGUGACUUGUGGCAUGAAGCAGAUGUCUCGUAACAACCAGGAUGUGAAAUUGCUUGGUAUGCAGAAAGAUAAACAAGUAUAAGGAAGCAGUAACCGCAAGGCUUAUCGCAAAAGGAUACAUGUGUUAAUAGAAAGGUAACCAAUCCUGAGCUCCGCUUUUGCAAUAUGUAUGAGCUAAUUAAUGCUUGUAUAAAGAAACUGUGAUCGACUCCAAUAAACUGAGACUUGCUGAUCAUGAUACCUUGAGGCUUGUCUCCCGCGACUCUCUCCAACAUCUGGAGCCCGAACAGAUGGGACUCUGAGCCUGGAUCUGUGAGACGUUGCAUUGGGUUCGGGUCCUGCAGCUAGACGGAUGGCGAUUAAGCUCCGCUACCUGGUGCCGUGCCCUGAGUGACCACAGCGGUGGGCUCAGCCGAUACGUGCUGCCGAAGCCUGGAGGGGCUGCAACAGCGCUGACGCACUUUGUGGGUCCCUGCAAGGUGGACGUGACCAGCAGUUGUUGAUGAACAGUCCAGAGCAGAGGAGGAAAUAUCACCUGCAGAAAGUGCUGGCACCGAUCCUGCGAGAAGUUGAGGAGGAAUUUAAUACCAAGUUUUUAUACGAAACUGAACGAGAAGUAGCUGAAACGCUUCUCCCAGUUUUACAGAGAGACUUUUUACGCCAUUGCCAAACUGCUUGCUUAGCUUGCUUCGCACAUAAUCACCAAGCGUGGGUAAAAAUUUAUUGUGGGAACUGUAAUAGGAACUGGUGGGUUUUUCAACGGGUUCUUAGCAACGGACUUUGGUGCCUUAAUUGUAAUUUUGACUGGCAUAGGGAAACACCGCAGCAAGCAUUAACCGCGUUAACAGGGGAUACUAUAGGGAACAGUAUAGCCAGAAUAGAAAACAGGGAGGAUCUAGAGCUUAGAGAUCUAGCGUGGCAGGUAUGCCACAUAGUCAAAAAGAUAUUAGGAGACAAACGCUCACGCAUUUUAGACUCUUGUUGUGGUCAUGAAGUUCAUAUACCAAUUCGGUGGCAGGUGCCACCCAGUCAAUGGGAUUAUACUUGUCGUAAGUUUACUAAAAUUAAUAACAGUCGCAAGAACUACUACGGAAAAACAUCCCAACAUUAACUCCUUAUUUCCUAGGCAGAACGUAUGGAUCUCAUUAGCAAGAUGGCUAAAUAGAACAGACUUUUGUGUGUCCUUAGCCCAACCUGAAUCCCCCUUCCAUACCUGCCUUAUUGGCGUACCACUUAAUGAGACAGAGUACUCUUAUUUAGUCAUGACCCGAACGUCCAGCCACUGUAAAAACAGUAUUAGCUCCUGCCUUGAAGAAUAUGACUCGUGGGAUGAUAGAUUACCUUAUAGAGGCAAGCCCGACGAGCUAGAGAUAUUGGGCUCGCUCCAUGCCGCCUCAUGCAUGUAUAUUAACUCCAGCAAAUAUGAGUGCAAUGAAGGCAACGGUGCUUGGUGUAAUAUAACAUUCCCUAUGGAUAUUACCCUGCAACAGGAAAAUUGGCAAAAUCACUCCUUUUGGUGUCAUUCUAUAGCUCGAAAUGAAACAGACCCAGCCCCAGGUACAACAAUUCCUCGCUGAUUGCCACACAGAAUCUUUUUAAUCUGUGGGGACAGAGCAUUCAGCGGCAUUCCUCAAUGGCCCACCGGAGGCCCUUGUACAUUUGGGCGUCUCACAAUAGCACUCCCUAGCCAGAGCGCUCUAUUAGGCCUAUAUAGUAAUACCAGCCAGGUAACCACCACAUGAUGAAAGCUCUCAACCAUUGAUGCUUCCUGUGACGAUAACGUCAACUUGUUUAAUUGCAUGGAGCAAGUGGUUGCCUCCCUUUUUAUGCCUGGCCUUGCUGCAGGACGUGCUCUUUUUCAGUUAGAGAAGUUACAAUGUUGGGUAGGCAAGCAAGCCAAUGCCACGUCUGAGCUAUUAAGUUUACUGGCCACAGACAUAGACACCGUAAGACAUGCAACAUUGCAAAAUCGGGCAGCUAUUGACUUUUUAUUGUUGGCUCAUGGGCAUGGGUGUGAAGAUUUCGAAGGAAUGUGCUGUAUGAAUUUGAAAAAUAGUUCCAAAUCUAUUUAUAGGAAAAUUUAGCAUUUGCAACAACAUGUUCAGGUGUUGCAGAGGGAUGAUACAUUUUUUGGAUUAUCAUUUGAAUCAUGGGGAAUCACGGGUUGGCUUAAACACCUUUUGCAGCUUAUGAUAAUAGGAUUGUUAGUUAUAGUAAUUUUAAUGCUUGUAUUGCCGUGUUUAUUUCAGUGCUUGCAAAGGACUUUAAUGUCAAUUAUAGAACGAAAAUGGAACACAUCCUUGCUUGCUUAUAAAGAAAACAGGGGAAGUGUAGAGAGUUUAUCUGAAGAAUGGCUGCGCAGCAAGGGACACGACAGUGUUAAGUUGAUAAGAGUGUGAGAGUACAUGACUUGUGGCAUGAAAACUAUGUCCUUGAGCAACAGAUGUCUCAUAACAACCAGGAUGUGAAAUUGCUUGGUAUGCAGAAAGAUAAACAAGUAUAAGGAAGCAGUAACCACAAGGCUUAUCACAAAAGGAUACAUGUGUUAAUAGAAAGGUAACCAAUCCUGAGCUUCACUUUUGCAAUAUGUAUGAGCUAAUUAAUGCUUGUAUAAAGAAACUGUGAUCGACUCCAAUAAACUGAGACUUGCUGA